GGUUGUAUAGUGUAGCGGUUAUCACUCCGGAUUCUGAGUCUUUCACCUAUCAGAAACAUUCCGGCAACCCCGGUUCGAUUCCGGGUACGACCU
rfam:Neurospora tetrasperma FGSC 2509 unplaced genomic scaffold NETTE2scaffold_5, whole genome shotgun sequence.